GACGAACGCUGGCGGCGUGCUUAACACAUGCAAGUCGAACGGAAAGGCCCCUUUGGGGGUACUCGAGUGGCGAACGGGUGAGUAACACGUGAGUAACCUGCCCUUGACUUCGGGAUAACUUCAGGAAACUGAGGCUAAUACCGGAUAGGAAUCCUUGCUGCAUGGUGGGGGUUGGAAAGCUUCGGCGGUUUUGGAUGGACUCGCGGCUUAUCAGCUUGUUGGUGGGGUAGUGGCUUACCAAGGCUUUGACGGGUAGCCGGCCUGAGAGGGCGACCGGCCACAUUGGGACUGAGAUACGGCCCAGACUCCUACGGGAGGCAGCGGUGGGGAAUAUUGCACAAUGGGCGGAAGCCUGAUGCAGCAACGCCGCGUGCGGGAUGACGGCCUUCGGGUUGUAAACCGCUUUCAGCAGGGGCGAAGCUUGUGGUGACGGUACCUGCAGAAGAAGCACCGGCUAACUACGUG
rnacentral:rRNA from 1 species